rnacentral:rRNA from 1 species
GACGUAGGGUGCGAGCGUUGUCCGGAUUUAUUGGGCGUAAAGAGCUCGUAGGCGGCUCGUCGCGUCGACCGUGAAAACCCGCAGCUUAACUGCGGGCUUGCGGUUGAUACGGGCGGGCUAGAGUUCGGUAGGGGAGACUGGAAUUCCUUGUGUAGCGGUGAAAUGCGCAGAUAUCAGGAGGAACACCGGUGGCGAAGGCGGGUCUCUGGGCCGAUACUGACGCUGAGGAGCGAAAGCGUGGGGAGCGAACAGG